AGCUAAAAUUUGGUACUUCACACCAAUCAAAAUGACGGGACAAAUACUGAAUGAAGGCGGCAAACUGGGCCCAUCGAAAAGUCUUCCUUACACUGGUAUUACGCAACAUCUUCAACUUUACAAAAUGGACAAAUUGUGGCAAGUAUGAAAAACACUGAUUUUUUUACGUUUCGUUGAACAUAGAUGAUUCAUUAAGUUUGAUACUUUGAUUGUGAAUCCACUUAGAUUUCACCGGCCUUUGGAGGAGUAUAUAUUAAUCGGUUCGCCAGUAUUAGUUGCAAUGUUUAAACUUUCAGUAAUUAUCUAUUAUUUUUUUUAAAUGAUGCCGAUUUGUUUUAGUAUCAGUCUCAAUAGUUUUAAAGGAUUAGUGUCAGGGUCAUGCAUUGCGGGCUUUUGUUAUUGUUUACAUUUUACUCAAAUACAA